GCUGGUUUACCAGUCCGAGUUGUAGUUUAAAGAAGCGUUUUCGGUGGCAGGCCGGGUAUAAAUCCUUUGGAACAGGGUAUCAUAGAGGGUGAGAAUCCCGUCUUUGACUCGGCUGAUGUUACUAUGUGAUACGUUUUCAAAGAGUCGAGUUGUUUGGGAAUGCAGCUCAAAAUGGGUGGUAAAUUUCAUCUAAGGCUAAAUAUUGGCGAGAGACCGAUAGCGAACAAGUACCGUGAGGGAAAGAUGAAAAGAACUUUGAAAAGAGAGUUAAACAGUGCGUGAAAUUGUUGAAAGGGAAACGUUUGACACCAGCUAUGUAGGCGGAAAAUCAGUCAAGCGCAGUGAGGGGCUGGUGUUUGUCCGGACCGCAAGGCCGGCGGAUAUCUCAUCUUUGCUGUGGGUGAUGCACUUUUUCGUUCGCAGGUCAACAUCAGUUUCGCUUGCUGGACAAAACCCCGAGAGAAGGUAGCAGCUUUGGCUGUGUUAUAGCUCUGGGGCGAUACAGUGGGUGGGACUGAGGAUUCGCAGUGUGUGCUCUCGGGCAAGGCUGACUGGGUGCUCUGGGGUCGUUUGGCGUACAAUGCUUGCAUUUUGCGUCUUGUCUUCUUCAGACUCGCUUAGUUCGGCUCUUCCACGCUUAGGAUGUUGACUUAAUGGUUUUAAAACGACCCGUCUUGAAAAC
rnacentral:rRNA from 1 species